rnacentral:rRNA from 1 species
AGUGAACGCUGGCGGUAGGCCUAACACAUGCAAGUCGAACGGCGGCACAGUAAGAGCUUGCUCUUACGGGUGGCGAGUGGCGGACGGGUGAGGAAUACAUCGGAAUCUACUUUUUCGUGGGGGAUAACGUAGGGAAACUUACGCUAAUACCGCAUACGACCUACGGGUGAAAGGAGGGGAUCUUCGGACCUUGAGCGACUGAAUGAGCCGAUGUCGGAUUAGCUAGUUGGCGGGGUAAAGGCCCACGAAGGCGACGAUCCGUAGCUGGUCUGAGAGGAUGAUCAGCCACAUUGGAACGGAGACACGGUCCAGACUCCUACGGGAGGCAGCAGAGGGGAAUAUUGGACAAUGGGCGCAAGCCUGAUCCAGCCAUACUGCGUGUGUGAAGAAGGCCUUCGGGUUGUAAAGCCCUUUUGUGGGGAAAGAAAAGCAGCAGGUUAAUACCCCGCUGUUCUGACGGUACCCAAAGAAUAAGCACCGGCUAACUUCGUG